GUCAGUGUGUUGUAGUGGUUUUGAAUGUUGGACUACAAUUCUGGAGACCAGGGUUUGAUUCCCUGCUUGGCCA